rnacentral:rRNA from 1 species
GACGUAGGGUCCAAGCGUUGUCCGGAUUUACUGGGCGUAAAGAGCGCGUAGGCGGUCCGUUAAGUGUAGAGUGAAAGCUCCGGGCUCAACUCGGAAAUUGCUCUGCAUACUGGCGGACUCGAGGACGGAAGAGGUUUGUGGAAUUCCUGGUGUAGCGGUGAAAUGCGCAGAUAUCAGGAGGAACACCAAUGGCGAAGGCAGCUCGCUGGGACGGUACUGACGCUGAGACGCGAAAGCGUGGGGAGCAAACAGG